rnacentral:rRNA from 1 species
CCUACGGGUGGCUGCAGUGGGGAAUAUUGGACAAUGGGCGAAAGCCUGAUCCAGCCAUGCCGCGUGUGUGAAGAAGGCCUUCGGGUUGUAAAGCACUUUCAGUGGGGAAGAAAGCCUUGGGGCUAAUACCCUCGAGGAAGGACAUCACCCAUAGAAGAAGCACCGGCUAACUCCGUGCCGCAGCCGGGGUAAUACGGAGGGUGCGAGCGUUAAUCGGAAUUACUGGGCGUAAAGCGCGCGUAGGCGGUCUGAUAAGCCGGUUGUGAAAGCCCCGGGCUCAACCUGGGAACGGCAUCCGGAACUGUCAGGCUAGAGUGCAGGAGAGGAAGGUAGAAUUCCCGGUGUAGCGGUGAAAUGCGUAGAGAUCGGGAGGAAUACCAGUGGCGAAGGCGGCCUUCUGGACUGACACUGACGCUGAGGUGCGAAAGCGUGGGUAGCAAACAGGAUUAGAUACCCUAGUAGUC